GAUGAACGCUGGCGGCGUGCCUAAUACAUGCAAGUCGAGCGAACGGACGAGAAGCUUGCUCCUCUGAUGUUAGCGGCGGACGGGAGAGUAACACGUGGAUAACCUACCUAUAAGACUGGGAUAACUUCGGGAAACCGGAGCUAAUACCGGAUAAUAUUUUGAACCGCAUGGUUCAAAAGUGAAAGACGGUCUUGCUGUCACUUAUAGAUGGAUCCGCGCUCCAUUAGCUAGUUGGUAAGGUAACGGCUUACCAAGGCAACGAUGCAUAGCCGACCUGAAAGGGAGAACGGCCACAUGGUAACUGAGACUCGGUCCAGACUCCGACAGGAGGAAACAGUAGAGAAUCUUCCGGAAUGGGCGAAAGCCUGACGGUGCAACGCCGCGUGAGUGAUGAAGGUCUUCGGAUCGGAGAACGCUGUUAUUAGGGAAGAUCAUAUGUGUAAGUAACUGUGAUCAUCUUGACGGUACCUAAUCAGAAAGCCACGGCUAACUACGUG
rnacentral:rRNA from 1 species